rnacentral:misc_RNA from 1 species
CGAAAAUGCCGGUCAUUCAAACGUUUGUCUCGACUCAGCUUGACCACCACAAGCGCGAAAACCUUGCGCAGGUGUACCGGGCGGUCACCCGUGAUGUACUCGGCAAACCAGAGGACCUCGUGAUGAUGACGUUUCACGACAGCACACCUAUGCAUUUCUUCGGCUCGACCGAUCCAGUCGCAUACGUCAGAGUGGAGGCGCUGGGAGGGUACGGCCCUUCGGAGCCGGAGAAAGUGACGUCCAUAGUUACAGCGGCUAUCACGAAAGAGUGCGGCAUCGUGGCUGACCGUAUAUUUGUGCUCUACUUCUCACCUCUGCACUGCGGCUGGAACGGCACAAACUUCUAAGCCAUCAUGGCCACUUCUUCCCAUGUUGGGAUGCUACACUGCACGUCUUCUAGUGCAAGCAAACGACGAGAUUCAAGUACACGGCGACGCGGUUGCCAUCCAAAUGCGCUAUGAUGCGGCAUUUUCCUGAAAAUUGUGCCAGGGUCACACGAGCCCCGUUUUUUUUCUCUGAGGUGCAUCUUUCCCUCCUCGCCUCUGUGAUCUCCACGCCACUUCUUAUCUGGAAGAGUGACGUAUGUCCAAUAGAGAGAAUCCGGUUAACAUAUGACGCUCCCCUGCCGCGGCGCCAGCGUGCCCGAACCUUCCUCUGCGCCUACACCCCUCCUCCUUCCGCUCCGUACGAAG